AACGAACGCUGGCGGCAGGCCUAACACAUGCAAGUCGAGCGAUCCUUUCGGGGAUAGCGGCGGACGGGUGAGUAACGCGUGGGAACGUACCCUUUGCUACGGAAUAGCCUCGGGAAACUGGGAGUAAUACCGUAUGUGCCCUUCGGGGGAAAGAUUUAUCGGCAAAGGAUCGGCCCGCGUUGGAUUAGGUAGUUGGUGGGGUAAUGGCCUACCAAGCCGACGAUCCAUAGCUGGUUUGAGAGGAUGAUCAGCCACACUGGGACUGAGACACGGCCCAGACUCCUACGGGAGGCAGCAGUGGGGAAUCUUAGACAAUGGGGGCGAACCCUGAUCUAGCCAUGCCGCGUGAGUGAUGAAGGCCCUAGGGUUGUAAAGCUCUUUCAGCUGGGAAGAUAAUGACGGUACCAGCAGAAGAAGCCCCGGCUAACUCCGUG
rnacentral:rRNA from 1 species